AGUCAGCGGCAGCGCGGGGGCAACCCUGGCGGCGAGCGGCGAACGGGUGAGUAACAUAUCGGAACGUACCCUGACGUGGGGGAUAACACAUCGAAAGAUGUGCUAAUACCGCAUACGACCUGAGGGUGAAAGCGGGGGACCGAAAGGCCUCGCGCGACAGGAGCGGCCGAUAUCGGAUUAGCUAGUUGGUGGGGUAAAGGCUCACCAAGGCGACGAUCCGUAGCUGGUCUGAGAGGAUGAUCAGCCACACUGGAACUGAGACACGGUCCAGACUCCUACGGGAGGCAGCAGUGGGGAAUUUUGGACAAUGGGGGCAACCCUGAUCCAGCCAUUCCGCGUGAGUGAAGAAGGCCUUCGGGUUGUAAAGCUCUUUCGGCAGGAACGAAACGGCGGGCUCUAACAUAGUCUGUCAAUGACGGUACCUGAAGAAGAAGCACCGGCUAACUACGUGCCAGCAGCCGCGGUAAUACGUAGGGUGCGAGCGUUAAUCGGAAUUACUGGGCGUAAAGCGUGCGCAGGCGGUUUCGUAAGACAGAUGUGAAAUCCCCGGGCUUAACCUGGGAACUGCGUUUGUGACUGCGAGACUUGAGUGUGGCAGAGGGGGGUGGAAUUCCACGUGUAGCAGUGAAAUGCGUAGAGAUGUGGAGGAACACCGAUGGCGAAGGCAGCCCCCUGGGUUAACACUGACGCUCAUGCACGAAAGCGUGGGGAGCAAACAGGAUUAGAUACCCCCGGUAGUCCACGCCCU
rnacentral:rRNA from 1 species